UGCACGCUGGCGGCGUGCCUAACACAUGCAAGUCGCGCGGCAGCGAGGGGUGCUUGCACCCUGUCGGCGAGCGGCGGACGGCUGAGUAACGCGUGGGAACGUGCCCCAAAGUGAGGAAUAACUGCCCGAAAGGGUAGCUAAUACCGCAUAUUAUCUUCGGAUCAAAGGAUUUAUCCGCUUUGGGAGCGGCUCGCGUCGGAUUAGGUAGUUGGUGAGGUAAUGGCUCACCAAGCCGACGAUCCGUAGCUGGUCUGAGAGGAUGACCAGCCAGACUGGAACUGAGACACGGUCCAGACUCCUACGGGAGGCAGCAGUGAGGAAUCUUCCACAAUGGGCGAAAGCCUGAUGGAGCAACGCCGCGUGCAGGACGAAGGCCUUCGGGUUGUAAACUGCUUUUAUAAGUGAGGAAUAUGACGGUAACUUAUGAAUAAGGAUCGGCUAACUACGUG
rnacentral:rRNA from 1 species